GAUGAACGCUGACAGAAUGCUUAACACAUGCAAGUCAACUUGAACUUCGGUUUGGGUGGCGGUCGGGUGAGUAACGCGUACAGAACUUGCCUCACAGCUAGGGACAACAUUUGGAAACGAAUGCUAAUACCUGAUAUUAUGAUUUUAGGGCAUCCUAGAAUUAUGAAAGCUAUAUGCGCUGUGAGAGAGCUUUGCGUUCCAUUAGCUAGUUGGAGAGGUAACGGCUCACCAAGGCGAUGAUGGGUAGCCGGCCUGAGAGGGUGAACGGCCACAAGGGGACUGGGACACGGCCCGUACGCCUACGGGAGGCAGCGGUGGGGAAUAUUCGACACUGGACCAAGAGUCUGAUGAAGCAAUUCUGUGUGCACGAUGAAGUUUUUCGGAAUGUAAAGUGCUUUCAGUUGGGAAGAAAAAAAUGACGGUACCAACAGAAGAAGUGACGGCUAAAUACGUG
rnacentral:rRNA from 1 species